UGGUUUCAGUUGGAAGUUGCAGCAGAGGUUAGGCUCAAUUGGAAGUUGCAGAGGAGGCUAGGGUGUUUUCUUCUUUGAAAGGGACAGUGUUUCGGGUUUAAAAUUUAGGUCGGGUUUUGAGUUGAAUCCAUAAAUUAUUAGGAGUUUAAUUAGACUUGGACCUAAAUUUAUAAUUGUAACUUUUAUUUAAUUGAGGGCCUUUUUAGUUGUUAAAUUUGGGCCCGAGUUUCGUCUGUCUUUUCUUCAAUUAUGCCCCUUUGUAAUGGUUUUUAUUGAAUGAAUCUGUUUUACCAGUGAAAA
rnacentral:misc_RNA from 1 species